ACUUCCGUUUUGUAUUCUGUCUUUCGUUCUCAGACCGUCUUCAAGAGCAGAAGCAGUAUGAGAGCUAAGUGGCGUAAGAAGCGUAUGCGUAGGUUGAAGCGUAAGCGCAGAAAGAUGCGCGCAAGGUCUAAGUAAUCGCACCAGCGUUCGCACAUUUUCAUGGAACUUUUGUCUGCAGAAAAAUGAACAUGCCGUCUGGGCAACAAAAAAGGCCCGAAGUAAUUUUGCUAAACAGUUUCUCACGUAAAAAUAUGUGCAUUUUGGAAUUGAAAUUCACUUUAAAUAUCGUUAAAAUUGCUUCUAAUAAAUUACUGGAUUUCAUAAAGGUUCCGCAAAACUAAA